CAACGCCGCGUGGAGGAUGAAAUCCUUGGGAUGGUAAACUACCUUUCGUAUCGGGAAGAUAAUGACGGUACCGAGAGAAGAAGCCCCGGCUAACUUCGUGC
rnacentral:rRNA from 1 species